rnacentral:misc_RNA from 1 species
GAUGAAGAACGUAGCGAAAUGCGAUAAGUAAUGUGAAUUGCAGAAUUCAGUGAAUCAUCGAAUCUUUGAACGCACAUUGCGCCCGGCAGUACUCUGCCGGGCAUGCCUGUUCGAGCGUCAUUUCAACCCUCAAGCCCUGCUUGGUGUUGGGGUCCCACGGCCGCCGUGGGCCCUGAAAGGAAGUGGCGGGCUCGCUACAACUCCGAGCGUAGUAAUUCAUUAUCUCGCUUAGGGCGUUGGGCGGCGCUCCUGCCGUUAAAGAACCAUCUUUAACUCAAGGUUGACCUCGGAUCAGGUAGGAAUACCCGCUGAACUUAAGCAUAUCAUAAGCGGAGGA